UACGGGGGCCCCGAGCGUUGUCCGGUUUUAUUGGGCGUAAAGAGUUCUGUAGGCGGUUUUGUAAGUUACGGGUGAAAUCCUCCGGCUCAACCGGAGAUGUGCUUGUAAUACUGCAUCACUAGAGAUAGACAGGGGAUGGCGGAACGCAUGGUGUAGCGGUUAAAUGCGUUGAUAUCAUGCGGAAUACCGAAGGCGUAGGCAGCCAUCUGGGUCUUAUCUGACGCUGAGAGACGAAAGCGUGGGGAGCAAAACGG
rnacentral:rRNA from 1 species